rnacentral:lncRNA from 10 species
GUGGGGGACUGUCACUUAUUCAGGGGUGAGUGCGGGGGUGGGGGUUGGGCCCUGUCAUUUACUUAGAGGGUGAAAGUCGGGUACGGGCUGUCACUUACUGAGGACAACCACAAUGAUGAUACUCGCCAGGCUCAGUAGUGCUAUGAUGAUGGGGAUCCCCACCUUUCUGAAGGUCUCCAUGGGGAUACGGGGUUUGCGCAGGGGUUUGACAUCUGCAAGAAAAUGGGAGGCAGAGGGGAAGAGCAUGCAGUCAGCACUUGGUGAUCCCUGAGCCAAACUCCACAGCCUCCUGCCUUCUGGCCGGUGACAGGCAAGCACUGCCAUUUUUCAUGAAAAUGCCUCUGGCCAAUGUGAACUCCAUGACACCAGGGACUUCAGCUGUCUUAAUUAGUGUUAUAGCCCAGCAUCCAGCCUAGGGCCUGGCACAUGGCAGGGCUUGAGAUAUUUUGCAGACCCUGCACCUGACGGAUCAGCUGGCACCACCCAGAUCAAUAAACUGCCUCAUCUGAUCUGGCGGCCCCCGCCCAGGAACUGACUGAGCGCAAGAAGACAGCUCCAACUCUAUAUGAUUUCAUCCCUGACCAAUCAGCAUUCCUGGCUCACUGGCUUCCCCCCACCCACCAAGUUAUCCUUAAAAACUCUGCUCCCUGAAUGCUUGGGGAGAUUGAUUUGAGUACUAAUAAAACUCCAGUCUCCCACACAGCUGGCUCUGCG